CAUUCAUAGAGUGUAAAGGCAUAAGGGAGCUUGACUGCGAGACCUACAAGUCGAGCAGGGUCGAAAGACGGACUUAGUGAUCCGGUGGUUCCGCAUGGAAGGGCCAUCGCUCAACGGAUAAAAGCUACCCCGGGGAUAACAGGCUUAUCUCCCCCAAGAGUUCACAUCGACGGGGAGGUUUGGCACCUCGAUGUCGGCUCAUCGCAUCCUGGGGCUGUAGUCGGUCCCAAGGGUUGGGCUGUUCGCCCAUUAAAGCGGUACGCGAGCUGGGUUCAGAACGUCGUGAGACAGUUCGGUCCCUAUCCGUCGUGGGCGUAGGAAAUUUGAGAGGAGCUGUCCUUAGUACGAGAGGACCGGGAUGGACAUACCUCUGGUGUACCAGUUGUCGUGCCAACGGCAUAGCUGGGUAGCUAUGUGUGGACGGGAUAAGUGCUGAAAGCAUCUAAGCAUGAAGCCCCCCUCAAGAUGAGAUUUCCCAACUUCGGUUAUAAGAUCCCUCAAAGAUGAUGAGGUUAAUAGGUUCGAGGUGGAAGCAUGGUGACAUGUGGAGCUGACGAAUACUAAUCGAUC
rnacentral:rRNA from 1 species